rfam:Erinaceus europaeus unplaced genomic scaffold scaffold01233, whole genome shotgun sequence
UGGCGCCCAACAUGGGGCAAAGAAGCCUUCUGGACCUAGGAACACCGCUGAUCAAGAGGAUAGGACUAUCCAAAUUCACUGAGCCACCACGGCCGAGGGAGUAAUGCAAAGGCUUGCAUAGAUUGCCCACGGAACUGCCUGGCUGUGAGUCGCAUCUGGAGGAGUGUCACAGCGGUGAGGUAAGCACUACCAUGGGACAUGAAUUUGGUAAACAAGAAUUGUUUAUUAAAGGACUCAAGGAGUCCCUCAAGACACGAGGAGUAAGGGUUAAGAAAAAGGAUUUCAAGAAGUUUUUUUAUUUUGUGAGUGAUGUUUGUCCAU